UACAGAGGUCCCGAGCGUUGUUCGGAUUCACUGGGCGUAAAGGGUGCGUAGGUGGUGGGGUAAGUCUGGUGUGAAAGCUCGCGGCUCAACCGCGAAACGGCACUGGAAACUACUCUGCUGGAGGGUUGGAGGGGGGACUGGAAUUCUCGGUGUAGCAGUGAAAUGCGUAGAGAUCGAGAGGAACACCAGUGGCGAAGGCGAGUCCCUGGACAACACCUGACACUGAGGCACGAAAGCUCGGGGAGCAAACAGG
rnacentral:rRNA from 1 species